UAUUUGGUUGGUGCAAAAGUAAUUGCGGUUUUUGCCAUUACUUUUAAUGGCAAAAAUUACUAUCCUUACAUAGUAGUAACAUAAUUAGUAUGUUACUUAACAUUACUUU
rnacentral:miRNA from 10 species